rnacentral:rRNA from 1 species
AAACCAACAGGGAUUGUCUUAGUAACGGCGAGUGAAGCGACAAAAGCUCAAAUUUGAAAUCUGGCACCUUCGGUGUCCGAGUUGUAAUUUGAAGAAGGUAACUUUGGAGUUGGCUCUUGUCUAUGUUCCUUGGAACAGGACGUCACAGAGGGUGAGAAUCCCGUGCGAUGAGAUGUCCAACUCUAUGUAAAGUGCUUUCGAAGAGUCGAGUUGUUUGGGAAUGCAGCUCUAAGUGGGUGGUAAAUUCCAUCUAAAGCUAAAUAUUGGCGAGAGACCGAUAGCGAACAAGUACAGUGAUGGAAAGAUGAAAAGAACUUUGAAAAGAGAGUGAAAAAGUACGUGAAAUUGUUGAAAGGGAAGGGUUUGAGAUCAGACUUGGUAUUUUGUAUGUCUUGCUUUCGGGUGGGGCCUCUGCAGUUUACUGGGCCAGCAUCGGUUUGGACGGUAGGAUAAUGACAUUGGAAUGUGGCACUACUUCGGUGGUGUGUUAUAGACUUUGUUGAUACUGCCUGUCUAGACCGAGGACUGCGUCUUUGACUAGGAUGCUGGCAUAAUGAUCCUAAACCGCCCGCCAAACCACCCCGACAAAA